CUUCAUAAUUAACUUUGUUAUUGGACUUGGAAGACCACGUGAUGUCUACACCAAUCCUGCAGUAUAUAAACAUGAAGAUGCACCUGAUAAAGCACACAGUAUCAGCGUGGUCUUCAGACAGGACAACUGCAACAUGAAAUACUUUAUCGCGGUAUUUUUGGUGGCGGCGUGCGUAGCCAUGGCGUCUGCUUCAGUCGGCUGGAACAACGGAUGGAACAGCGGGUGGGGCUCGCCUGUGGUCUACUCAUCUCCGGUCUACUCUCGUCGCAUCUACCCCUCCUACUCAUCGUACUCCUCCGGGUGGCCGUCGGGUGGUUGGGGCGCUGGCUCAGGCUGGGGUUCUAGCUCAGGCUGGGGUGCCCGCUCAGGCUGGAACAGUGGCUGGUCCGCCAAACCCUGGUGGUGACUCACCAAUGCUACUUCUCUUUCCCAACCACCGUGUAUACAUAUUCUGUCUAUAUACUUUAUUCUACUCCCUAAUGAGAUUUAUACAGUAUUAAUAAAUGUUUUCAAAAAUUA